rnacentral:rRNA from 1 species
AAGGUGGGGAUGACGUCAAGUCAUCAUGGCCCUUACGACCAGGGCUACACACGUGCUACAAUGGCAUAUACAAAGAGAAGCGACCUCGCGAGAGCAAGCGGACCUCAUAAAGUAUGUCGUAGUCCGGAUUGGAGUCUGCAACUCGACUCCAUGAAGUCGGAAUCGCUAGUAAUCGUAGAUCAGAAUGCUACGGUGAAUACGUUCCCGGGCCUUGUACACACCGCCCGUCACACCAUGGGAGUGGGUUGCAAAAGAAGUAGGUAGCUUAACCUUCGGGAGGGCGCUUACCACUUUGUGAUUCAUGACUGGGGUGAAGUCGUAACAAGGUAACCGUAGGGGAACCUGCGGUUGGAUCACCUC